AUGGAGAAGGAAAGCGGCGAGGACUCCAUGUCAAACACGGCCGUGCCGCCACCGCCGCCUCCGCCGCCAUUUGGGAGCGCGCAAGGUAAACAGCCGGCGGGCCCGCCGGUGCCGCCGACUGAGGAAGAGUCCGUGGUGAAGCUGCUCCUUCAAGUCGCCUCGCCAGCGCGCCACCGCCUUGAGAAGGCGAUUUCGGCGCCACGCCCCUUGGAGACCGGCGCCGCCAGCUCGGCCAUCCCAGACACCGAGGCGACAAGUGCCGCGCCCUUUGGGUGGGUGCAAGGAGGCGGCACAAGCCCGCUGAACCAGGCGCUUCUGGACGUUCAGGCGAUGCUGCAAGCCGAGGGUGACGCCAUCCAGAACUGCACCAAGGCGCAUCUGGCGUCGCGAGCAGCCGUCCGGGUAUGCUUUCUUUUUUGA
rnacentral:rRNA from 1 species